AAACAGGAUUAGAUACCCUGGUAGUCCACGCCGUAAACGAUGGAUACUCGCUGCGGGCUAAAGCUUGUCCGUGGCUAAGCGAAAGCGCUAAGUAUCCCACCUGGGGAGUACGCCGGCAACGGUGAAACUCAAAGGAAUUGACGGGGGCCCGCACAAGUGGUGGAGCAUGUGGUUUAAUUCGAUGAUACGCGAGGAACCUUACCUAGGCUAGAAUGCGCGUGACCGGCUCAGAGAUGGGCUUUUCCUUCGGGACACAAAGCAAGGUGCUGCAUGGCCGUCGUCAGCUCGUGCCGUGAGGUGUUGGGUUAAGUCCCGCAACGAGCGCAACCCCUAUAGUUAGUUGCCAGCACGUAAUGGUGGGGACUCUAGCUAGACUGCCUGCGCAAGCAGUGAGGAAGGCGGGGACGACGUCAGGUCAUCAUGGCCCUUACGCCUAGGGCGACACACGUGCUACAAUGGACGGUACAGCGGGUAGCUACUGGGCGACCAGAUGCCAAUCUCGAAAAGCCGUUCUCAGUUCGGAUCGGAGUCUGCAACUCGACUCCGUGAAGCUGGAAUCACUAGUAAUCGCGCAUCAGCCAUGGCGCGGUGAAUACGUUCCCGGGCCUUGUACACACCGCCCGUCAAGCCAUGAAAGUCUGGUAGACCUGAAGCUGGUGCUCGACCCAGAAGCCAGUUAGGGUAGAACAGGUAAUUAGGGCUAAGUCGUAACAAGGUAACC
rnacentral:rRNA from 1 species